rnacentral:rRNA from 1 species
GACGAACGCUGGCGGCGUGCUUAACACAUGCAAGUCGAACGGUGAAAGCGGAGCUUGCUCCGCUGGAUCAGUGGCGAACGGGUGAGUAACACGUGGGCAACCUGCCCCUCACUUCGGGAUAACUCCGGGAAACCGGGGCUAAUACCGGAUAUGACCUCCUUGGGCAUCCUUGGAGGUGGAAAGUUUUUCGGUGAGGGAUGGGCCCGCGGCCUAUCAGCUUGUUGGUGAGGUAGUGGCUCACCAAGGCGACGACGGGUAGCCGGCCUGAGAGGGCGACCGGCCACACUGGGACUGAGACACGGCCCAGACUCCUACGGGAGGCAGCAGUGGGGAAUAUUGCGCAAUGGGCGAAAGCCUGACGCAGCAACGCCGCGUGCGGGAUGACGGCCUUCGGGUUGUAAACCGCUUUCGUCCGGGACGAUAAUGACGGUACCGGAAGAAGAAGCCCCCGGCUAACUUCGUGCCAGCAGCCGCGGUAA